CCUACGGGAGGCAGCAGUGGGGAAUAUUGCACAAUGGGCGAAAGCCUGAUGCAGCAACGCCGCGUGAAUGAAGCAGGGUUUCGGCUCGUACACUUCUAUUAACAGGGACGAAAGAAAUGACGGUACCUGAAUAAGAAGCCCCGGCUAACUACGUGCCAGCAGCCGCUGUAAUACGUAGGUGGCAAGCGUUAUCCGGACUUACUGGGUGGAAAGGGUGAGUAGGCGGCAUAGUAAGCCAGAUGUGAAAGCCUUGGGCUUAAGCCGAGGAUUGCAUUUGGAACUAUCAAGCUAGAGUACAGGAGAGGAUAGCGGAAUUCCUAGGAUAGCGGUGAAAUGCGUAGAUAUUAGGAAGAACACCAGUUGCGAAGGCGGCUUUCUGGACUGAAACUGACGCUGAGGCACGAAAGCGUGGGGAGCGAACAGGAUUAGAUACCCUAGUAGUC
rnacentral:rRNA from 1 species